rnacentral:rRNA from 1 species
UACGGGAGGCAGCAGUGGGGAAUAUUGGACAAUGGGCGCAAGCCUGAUCCAGCAAUGCCGCGUGAGUGAAGAAGGCCUUCGGGUUGUAAAGCACUUUCGGACGGAACGAAAUCGCGCGGGUGAAUAUCCCGCGUGGAUGACGGUACCGUAAGAAGAAGCACCGGCUAACUAC